CGAAUAUUUGAUUACAAUUUGUACAUUUUGCAGAGCAUAGCAUUGAGAAAAUGGCACUCUGUUUGACCAGACACAAUUUUCUACCUCGAAAUCGAGAAUUACACAAACAAGAAGAAGAGGAAGAAGGAAAAGAAGGAGGCAAUUUGAAAUUGAAAUUAGGGCCAAACCAAAUCAACACAAACCCUAGAUUCCUUGAGAAACUCAUCGAUUACAGUCUCAUCGGCACAGAUCCGGCUCUUAUUGCUGUAACCGCACUCAGUCGGCAGCAGCGACUUUGGGGCGGCAGAAGAAGACGUCGGCGGCGGAAGUGGAAUAGUGAGCCAGUAAUCGGGAUUGGUGUGGUGGUGACGGAGGAGUUCGGAGAGGAGAAGAACGAGAGACGCCAUUGAUGGAAAUGGAAAGAUGAAUGUUGAAGGAAAUUAGUUGGAAUUCAAUUGAGAGAGACGAAAG
rnacentral:misc_RNA from 1 species